AAUUUUCUAGAACAUAAGGGGAGUGAGGUCCAAAAAAUCCAUUCACAGGCUUAAGAGGUUAAUUAACAUCAACAACACCUAUUUCGUGGCUAUCUUUGAACAUUUUCUUUCUAAUGAAAAGGUGGAUGGUUACAGGAGAUUCUUAGGUUUUUAGCAUUGCCAUUUGAAUGGUAAUGGACAUAUUUGGUGUUUUUGGAACUCUUUCAACACCAAAAUUUUUUUAUCUAAAAGCAAUCAGCAUAUUACAAUCAAGUUGGAGAAGGCUAUUAGUAAUUUGGACAUUCUUAUUACGUCUGUUUAUGCUAAGUGUAACUUGGAAGAUAGAAAGCCCCUCUAGUUAUCCUCGUAGGAUGAUAGUAAUCUGGUGGAUGCUC
rnacentral:lncRNA from 1 species